rnacentral:rRNA from 1 species
AAUAGAUACCCCGGUAGUCCACGCCGUAAACGAUGAGUGCUAAGUGUUAGAGGGUUUCCGCCCUUUAGUGCUGCAGCUAACGCAUUAAGCACUCCGCCUGGGGAGUACGGCCGCAAGGCUGAAACUCAAAGGAAUUGACGGGGGCCCGCACAAGCGGUGGAGCAUGUGGUUUAAUUCGAAGCAACGCGAAGAACCUUACCAGGUCUUGACAUCCUCUGCCAACCCUAGAGAUAGGGCGUUCCCCUUCGGGGGACAGAGUGACAGGUGGUGCAUGGUUGUCGUCAGCUCGUGUCGUGAGAUGUUGGGUUAAGUCCCGCAACGAGCGCAACCCUUGAUCUUAGUUGCCAGCAUUCAGUUGGGCACUCUAAGGUGACUGCCGGUGACAAACCGGAGGAAGGUGGGGAUGACGUCAAAUCAUCAUGCCCCUUAUGACCUGGGCUACACACGUGCUACAAUGGAUGGUACAAAGAGCAGCGAACCCGCGAGGGUAAGCCAAUCUCAUAAAGCCAUUCUCAGUUCGGAUUGUAGG